AAAAAAUUAUUUCAAUAAGAAGUAGACACGUGCUCUAAUGAAAAUAUAAUUAAUAAUGAAAUAAUAAAAAAAUCUAAAUUUUUUUAUUUAAGCACUUUAAAAGUUUAAGAUGAUUCACGUAAAGUUUCAUUGCGAUGCAAAGAUCAGUUGUGUAAAAUAAACAAAAUUUAUUUAUUUAUUUACAAACUAACUAAACAAUCACGAUAAACCUUUGUAUAAAUCAUUUUGAAGUACUUACAUAAAAGAUUGAGACUUUUUUAAUGCUGUAAAAACUAAUUUAGUUUUUACAGUAAAAACAAUAAAAAUGUUAUUAAAUAAAAACAUAAUCUUAUUCACCCAACUUUCAUAUGUAAAUACAUAGUUUAUUUGAAGUGUUAAUAUUAACAUAUUUCCAAAUUUUAUUUACUUUGUAAGAAUCGUAUGUCCGAUACAUCUUUAAUCUGAAAGACUCUUAUAAAACAUGAAGAAAUUAAUAAUAAAUGUUUAAUUAAUUAAUUGUUAAAUCGGCUAAUUCGAAUAAUAUUAUAUAAUUAAAAAAAAUUGGUUUAAUCCUCGAUUAAAAGAAGCGACUGGCAAAUUGGCGAAAAACGCGGCGAGUGAAAUUGUAUCUCGAUGACGAAGCCGGAGAUUUCGGUGCACCGUUGUCGUAAAUGUCGAUUCGAUUUCGAGAAUGAGGAGAAGAUAGUGGGAGGCGGUUGUGGGAAACUUGCCAAAAGUCGGGGCAGAAAUCAGUCUUCUCCCGUUUGUUUGUCGUGACCAUACCACCUCGUGAAUCCAUUGGUAACGCGACACCCCCAUCGCAUCGCGGCGGUUGUGUCACGAUUACGACGGCGGAUAGUCGAACUGCGCGUAGAACUAUAUAUAUAUUCGCAAAUCCACGUCGUAGAAAAGCAGAACGCAGAUUGGUGGUAUCGGGCGCCAUAUAUCUUCGUCGCGCGCAUAAACAUUUGUUCGAUUUUACCACUGUUAGUAUAAUGAUACAGACAAUGUCUGAGAGCUUUCAAACGAAACUUCUGCCACACAGAAUCAAAUUCGAAAGCUAAUUGUGACAGAUUAGAUUUUUAUAUUUUGCACACUGUAGCGUGUAUUUUUAAAACCUUUAUAUAUUUUUUUUCAAUUCUAAAUACCUGAUGCAACAUUGAGUCGAAAGAAUAUUCUACUCAUUGUCAGUAUAAAACUGUUUCUUGAAAAAUCCGCUUUUAUGUGCUUUCAGUAAAAAAAAAGUUUAAUCAAAAUUAAUUAAAAAAUCUGAUAAAAAAAUUAUAUGAAAAAUUGGGCUCUCCGCGCAAAUAACUUUAUUCUAUCAAUGAUUCAUUUGGGUGAAUAAGGAGCGAUAGAAUUCACAUCCAAACGCAUUCGACGAUGCAAUCCGGGAUGAAAUCAUCGUCGCAUUUGUGCUGAGUUGAGUUUAUGUUAAACGCGCGUGACAAGCGUCAUUCGUCAUUUUUCACGAACGGUUUUUGACAUGAGCUCAUCGUGUGCGAGAAUUCCUGAAGUUAUCAGGAUUCAUUCAUCAGAAAUGAUUCAUCCAGGCACCGAAACGUACCUUCGCGUUCACACACUCUCUUCCUUUCGCCGCGGUCGGCGACGCGUAUACAAAUAUUAGCUUAAAUGCCCCGAAGAAUCUCGACGGUCCGAUGAAUCAAGAGAAUGACUGAAAGCACUUUCAGUGUUUUCUUUUUCCAUCGUCGUCGAGUAACUCUCACCCGCGCUUACGCGCAAACAAACACUCGCGCGGUGUUUGCGAAAACCAAUCGAUCUUGAUUUCGCUUCGUGAAAUAACCGCGGACAGAUUCGUUCAGCUUGUAACGGAAACAUUUCCGCGUCUCUCUUAGGAAUUGCGACAUACCCCACAAUUAUUUUCAGAGACGGAUUUUAUUUCUUCCUCUAGAGGAAGUUUUAGAUGAAAUUAAAGAAAUGGAAAAUUUAGAAAAAUUCAAUUAUAUCUAGAGAGAGAAAGAGAAAGAGAGAAAUUAAACUAAAGAUAGUAAAUAAAAUUUAUUCCAUUUCAAUCAAUAUCGGUUUCUGUAUCUUUCUCAAAGUGUCACACGCGUUUGCACCGAUCUCGAAUGCACUCCGACGGUAUACUCUUUUGCGAUCCUUUGUGAUUCCUUUCAACUGUCUCCUCCGUCAUGCCGACUCAUACACGCCUCUGAGAAUUGAUUCUACUUUCACGCGCUCUCGUUGACCUCCGUUUUCUCGUUUUCGUCUCCUGACAUCUGGUAUGUCGUUCACAAUCACAGUCGCGAUUCUAAGAUCCUUCAAAAUAGUCUCAGAUCUUUCCGUGUCAAUUUAUCGCGUUCUUAUACGAAAAUGAAACUCGAAAUAAAAGUUGGACUAAAAAAACUUUUUGUAGUAAUAUCUGUUUUAAAUAUGUAUCUAUCGCGUAAAUGCCAAAGAUUGACGUCAUUAAUAUUUGGCGGAUAAAAACAUGCGAUUUUUCGCGUACCGUGUACGCGAUACAUUCGUUUGACCAUUGUUAUAUUGUUACACUUUGCGGCAGUAACAACAGGCAGUUUGUUUAAAAAGAUAAGAGCUACGUGUUGUAUGUAUGCGUGUAUGUGUGUGCAUGUGCAGUCGACUGUGCGCUGAUAAUUUCGGUCUGACGUUAUUGUCUAUUUCUUCUACCACAAGAACCGGCGGAGGCAUUUAACUCAGUUUCUCUUCGAUAUUUAUUUCGUCAUCGACGCAUCGAUACAUCCGACCUCGAAGCGAAAUGAUUCAAGCAAUGGACAAAGAUCGAAAAAUUUAUUUCACCUCUUUUCGCGCACACAUUUUAGCAUAUUUUUAUAAUGUAAAAAUGUCAAACCUAUUUUACAAUAAAUGUAAAAUAUAUUUUUCAAUAAAUAUAAUUUUUCUCCUAAUUCUGGAAUAUCGAUUUAAAAGAUCGCUUUUGUUGUAUUUCAUCUAUUAUGUUUUAAUUACACUUUUAUACGUGUCUACUGUAUAACUGUGAUUAGAAUAUGGUAAAAAAAUUAAUAUUUCAAUAUUUACACUGUAACUAUUAUUAAGAUAUUAUUGUAUUAAUGCAUCAACGAAAUUUUGCAAAAUAAUAGAUCGUUGAAACAAAACCUAGGAAAUUAAAACGUGUAAUAUUGAUAGAACAUUAAAUUUCAAAAUUAAAUAAUUUUGAUAUUAAUUGUGACUUAGAAGUGGACUAAGAAAAUUUACGCGCACGCUUCAGCGUUCCUCUCGUUUCGAUGCAUUGACAAAGGAAACCACUGCGUGUAGAAAAAUAUGAAACGCGUCUCGCGUUUCUGCACGUUUUGUCGGCAUAAAAUGCAACUGGUUCGCACGAGCUGCGUUCCCCGCCGGUGCGGCGUUUUUGAGGGUAUUGCACGUAUGAACGAGCCUUAAGAGUCCUCGUCCUAAGCUCAAGUGAGAGAGAGAAAGUGAGGGAGAGAAAGAGAGAAACGGAGAAAAAAGAACAGAUGCAUUCCAACAUGGGAAGGUGGGAUGGAUCCGUCUCUGAUAACCCGCCCAUUGGAAUGCGUACCUCGUACACCUUGGUGUAUUCUCCCUCUCAGUUUCACUACACACGAGUGCAUCUACCUACACGCACACGUACACAGACACGCGCCACGCAUAUUCGGCAGUUAUUUUUAGAGCAAUUCUAACAGGCGGACAUGUGAUGGUGUUUCGGACGCAAUAACUGACAUCCGGGAACUUAUUCGUCGCGUAAAUCGCGGGAUCGGAUUCGCGUGACAUUGAUUACAACCCGAUUUAAUUGUUCAAUUGUUGCGUUCGAUUUUUCUAAUACAAUCUCGGAUAACGAAGCAGAUGUCUCAGUAAAAUCGUGCGAAUUUAUGCGCACGUUUCAGCACGUUUUUCUCAAUGCUUUGAUAAAGGAAAAACACUGCGUGCAGAAAAAUAUGAAAAUAUCUGUAAUUGCUUGUGACGCUGGUCACCUGCUCUGCCGUAUAUUCGUCUUCAAUGAUUUAGAAUUGCACGCGGGCAACAAUGCAUGUACGUACACAUCAUAUAUUGCCAGCAAUUUAAUGGCGAGAGAGAGAGAGCAACAUCAAAAUUACCUUGCGUUGUCGGUAAUGCGGCGGUAUCAUAUGGUCGUAUAAUUAUUAUGGCAGCAGUGCGAAUUUUGAUAACGACGAUUUCAAAGCUUCCGAUAAGUUGCUACCCAAAGUUAUAUCGUGAUGCAAUUCGCCAACAGACGCGGACUCAGUUACUGCAAUUCUAUAGUGCAUUUUGUGAUGCAAGCAAUGUGCCAGCAACAAUACGGACAUCGUUGCUAUCUGGGAUGUAGGCACAGAUCGCAUUGCAAACGUGAAAAUCUGCAUUAAAGUGAAUUCAAUCGAUUACGCUUACGUAUAGAGAUGUGAAAAUAAAGAUACAUUGCAAAGACGCACUCCCUCCCUUCCGAGAAUAAAUAUAAAAAGAAAAAUUAUAAAAAUCGUAUUUUAAUGUUAAGAUUAUCCAAGUUCGAAACAUGAAUCACAUGUUACAAGUUCAAGUCACGCUUUUAGAACACGAUUUCUUUUAAUUCUUUUUACUUCUCGGAAUACAGGAAGAGAAGAAUCGCGAAUAAUUUCUCGAUUCUUUACGACCUACGCUUCGCGGAAACGAUCGGUGCACCUUCGAAGACAUUCCUCCGCGCGUUCAUUCAUCGGCUCCUCGCAUUGACGCCGUAAUUACUCGCUGAAUAGAAACGAUCGCGGCGGCAGGCCGCGGACGACGACGUGUUGCGUGCAUCGGGACGAGCUUUUGAUGCACCUUGAUGCAUUCUACCUCUCGGUCGCCGCCGCCGCCGCCGCCGCCGCCGCCGCGACUCGAUUGCGAGUGUAUGUACGUAACGACUGUAACGUGUUCGGGGAGCCUAUUUUUAGACCGGUCCAAGACUAUUUUUAGAAGCGGCCUGCCCACCGACAGCUUAACCCUGACUUACGUCCCCGUGUCUUCGUGGACACCGCAGGGAUACCGCGAAGAUCGGUGGACCAUUAGGCGCAUCAGCCGAAAGAUACACGGUCGCCAGGAAAUGCGAAACGCGCGGCAUACUUUCUGACCGUUCAUCUGACGUCUGUUUUUUUUUUUUUUAUAGAUAAACUAAUGUACACUUUCUGUACUUAAAGUGAAAUAAGUAUAUGAAAUUUGGCAAAAGCGAAAAGAGAAAUUUUGCAAUUCAGUGCAGCAAUAAAAAGUAAGCCUCUGGACUUUUUUUAUAUUCAAAUUGUCACAGCCAUUAUAAAUCACAGUUCAUGACAAUAAUCAUCAUUAUUGAUUAUUAUUCAUCAAUAAUAACGUGUACUAAAACAUUGAUUUUUCAUUAUUUACGAACCUUUACAGCGUAGAUUUUUGUUUUUCAAUCAAACACUCGUCAAACGGAGAACAAUGUUGUUUGAAAAGUCUACACCUACACGUGUCGUGAUCGUAAAAAUUUAACCGCGAAGAUCAUUCUGAAGUCGUAUGCUUAGCCUAUCGGACUUUAUCGGAAUCAAAGACGAGGCCGAACAGUAAAACUAGGUAUUACGACCACACGCAGAGCGAUGACGCAAGCUUGCGAGCUUCUAUUUGCGGCAACUACACGCAUAGAUCUAACUGCUCUCUCAAGCUCACUGCUCUGAUUUCGCGCUAGUAUGACGUUCCGCGCGAGUGUGUUUGAAAAGAGCGAAAAUCGCGAGAUUAAACAGCGAAUUUCAAGGGAAUCUAAUCUCAAGGAGAUCUGAGAGAAAUCUUAAUUUUAAUGAGAAGGAUUAAUGAAAAUUCCGAGAAAGUAACAGAAGAGAUCUUCAAUCGUAGCGUGUAUUUAGAAGACCAUUUGUUCUCAAAAGUGGCAUUUUUAUGGUUGUAGGAUCUUCCACUUCCUUCCAUUCGGCAGAGAGACUUAGUUCUCAGUGUCUAAGUGAGAACGCAAAGAACUUUCUUAAUAACUUUCAAAACACGCGCGGCGAAGAUUAAAGCAACACUUUCCGUUGGAUUAUGACGAUCUCUAACAAUAAUGUCCGACAUUCGAGGCGUAAUGACGCGCGUGCACUUAAAUAUAGUGGCUCUGGAGUCUGGACUCUGGAGAGGAGAAGAGAGGAGAGGAGAGGAGAGGAGAGGAGAGGAGAGCCCCGACUCGGCGACGCGUUUCGUAAAAAUAGACCCGAGGUUCGAGAUGAGAAUUUCAAAAGUCGCAACUGAUCAGACCCUUCUUUUAGUGUGAUCUUCGGAUCAACACUGUACACUUGGCUACAUAAGUCAUAUAUUAGCUAAGUAAUAAUAAUAAAAAAAAAAAAAACAAUGUAAUGAUAGCCCGUUAAUUAAAAUUUUUCUCGA